rnacentral:rRNA from 1 species
GUCCACGCCGUAAACGAUGGACACUAGACGUCGGGGGAGCGACCCUCCCGGUGUCGUCGCUAACGCAGUAAGUGUCCCGCCUGGGGAGUACGGCCGCAAGGCUGAAACUCAAAGGAAUUGACGGGGCCCGCACAAGCGGUGGAGCAUGUGGUUUAAUUCGAAGCAACGCGAAGAACCUUACCUGGGCUUGACAUACUGGUGCAAGCCGGUGGAAACAUCGGCCCCUCUUCGGAGCGCCAGCACAGGUGCUGCAUGGCUGUCGU